rnacentral:misc_RNA from 1 species
UCCAACUUAUCGCUGGCGGUCUCCUGAGAGUGCUCCCUUGCGGGGUGGCAACACAGGACAAGGGUUGCGCUCGUUGCGGGACUUAACCCAACAUCUCACGACACGAGCUGACGACAGCCAUGCAGCACCUCGACUCACGUCCCUUGCGGGAAACCCGGUGUUUCCACCGGACGUCGUAAGCCGUUCGAGCCCAGGUAAGGUUCUUCGCGUUGCGUCGAAUUAAACCACAUGCUCCACCGCUUGUGCGGGCCCCCGUCAAUUCCUUUGAGUUUCAGCCUUGCGGCCGUACUCCCCAGGCGGGGCACUUAAUGCGUUAGCGCCGGCCCUCGGGGGGUCGCUCCCCCAAGCGCCUAGUGCCCAUCGUUUACGGCGUGGACUAC